rnacentral:rRNA from 1 species
UUGUCCUACGGGACGCAGCAGUGAGGAAUAUUGGUCAAUGGACGCAAGUCUGAACCAGCCAAGUAGCGUGCAGGAUGACGGCCCUCCGGGUUGUAAACUGCUUUUAGUUGGGAAUAAAAGGGGGCUCGUGAGCCCCGUAUUGUAUGUACCAACAGAAAAAGGACCGGCUAAUUCCGUGCCAGCAGCCGCGGUAAUACGGAAGGUCCGGGGGGUAUCCGGAUUUAUUGGGUUUAAAGGGAGCGUCGGCCGGCUUUUAAGUCAGCU